UCCCCGCCAGCAGAGGGAGCCCGCUCAGGCCUCAGCCAGCACAGAGAGGGGCUCCCACGGUGCAGCUGCGGGCUGAAGGGCUCCUCAAGCGCGGCCAGAGUGGGCUGAGGCCGAGGAGGCGCCGAGAGCCAGCGAGGGAUGCCAGCAAGCUGUCACCUCUCAGAAAUACAGGAAGAACAUCAAUAAUGUUCGAAGUUAUAAAGUAUUGCGGAGGUCAGAGGUCAGAAAACAAGGUGUCUGCAGGACCAACCUCUCCUCUGGAUGCUCUAGGAAACGAGUAGAAUUAAGUGAAUUGAUUAUCAUAUCUAACCUAAUGAAUUGGGAGAUAGCCGUGGGCAUUAAAACUGUUUCAAGAAGUGCAACUUAGCGUUCAGGGCUGACCUCAUGAGCUUCCAGAGACAUCAGAGUGUUGAAAUUUCCAGGAUGCAAAACGAAGGGGCAAUUCAAAACAUUCAUCUCCACUUCUCAAAAGUCUUUGAUUACUUGAGAAAAGUGAGUGAGGUGGGGCCAAGAUGGUUGACUAGAAGCAGCUAGUGUGUGCCACUCUCACAAAUAGCAGAAAGAGUGGUGAGACACUAGCUCUUCAACCGGAACAUCCAGGUGGACACAUAAGGAUUCAUCAGUGACAUAGUGUGACCUUCGGAUCACGGAGAAGAGUGAGACAGAUCAACCAUUCACCCAGGAGUGGCACAGACCCAGGGGAAUCCCCCUACAAGAAAAUGGCCAGGAACCUCCAGAUAUAUUGGAGACCUCAAGAAGAGAGAAAUUCAUGCAGAUUUUUAGAUACUGCAGCCAAAGUCUGAUGUUCGCCCUCCUUUGACUUCUGACCCUUGAAAGGCUUUUAAAAGUCUAAUCUGAGAUUUCUUAUCAAAAGUUCCGUCAAAAUAAACUUAAAAACAGCCCAUGUUUCAUCCCUUUUCUUGCUAUACUGUUGUCAAUAAUCAUGCCAAGUUUAAUGAGACUAAACUUAUUCAGCAGACAAAUUAGUCUUACUCUGAUUAUCUUUAGUAGAAAUAGGGAUGAUUGUACAGAGAAAAAUUAUGUUUCUGAAGAAAAACUGCAGUACACCUGUUAGUAGAUUGUAGUUUUCUUUGUUGUUUUCAAGUUUUUGUCAUCUAUCUCUAAAUUAGACAGGGCACUUAAUUAUUCUAAUUU